rnacentral:rRNA from 1 species
AGAGUUUGAUCCUGGCUCAGGACGAACGCUGGCGGCGUGCCUAAUACAUGCAAGUAGAACGCUGACUACUUUGGCUUGCUAGAGUAGAAGGAGUUGCGAACGGGUGAGUAACGCGUAGGUAACCUGCCUACUAGCGGGGGAUAACUAUUGGAAACGAUAGCUAAUACCGCAUAACAGUGUUUAACACAUGUUAGAUGCUUGAAAGAUGCAAAUGCAUCACUAGUAGAUGGACCUGCGUUGUAUUAGCUAGUUGGUGGGGUAACGGCCUACCAAGGCGACGAUACAUAGCCGACCUGAGAGGGUGAUCGGCCACACUGGGACUGAGACACGGCCCAGACUCCUACGGGAGGCAGCAGUAGGGAAUCUUCGGCAAUGGGGGCAACCCUGACCGAGCAACGCCGCGUGAGUGAAGAAGGUUUUCGGAUCGUAAAGCUCUGUUGUAAGAGAAGAACGUGUGUGAGAGUGGAAAGUUCACACAGUGACGGUAACUUACCAGAAAGGGACGGCUAACUACGUGCCAGCAGCCGCGGUAAUACGUAGGUCCCGAGCGUUGUCCGGAUUUAUUGGGCGUAAAGCGAGCGCAGGCGGUUUAAUAAGUCUGAAGUUAAAGGCAGUGGCUUAACCAUUGUUCGCUUUGGAAACUGUUAAACUUGAGUGCAGAAGGGGAGAGUGGAAUUCCAUGUGUAGCGGUGAAAUGCGUAGAUAUAUGGAGGAACACCGGUGGCGAAAGCGGCUCUCUGGUCUGUAACUGACGCUGAGGCUCGAAAGCGUGGGGAGCAAACAGGAUUAGAUACCCUGGUAGUCCACGCCGUAAACGAUGAGUGCUAGGUGUUAGGCCCUUUCCGGGGCUUAGUGCCGCAGCUAACGCAUUAAGCACUCCGCCUGGGGA